AUUGAACGCUGGCGGCAUGCUUUACACAUGCAAGUCGGACGGCAGCACAGAGAAGCUUGCUUCUUGGGUGGCGAGUGGCGAACGGGUGAGUAACAUAUCGGAACGUACCGAGCAGUGGGGGAUAACUAAUCGAAAGAUUAGCUAAUACCGCAUAUUUUCUGAGGAAGAAAGCAGGGGACCAUUUGGCCUUGCGCUGUUUGAGCGGCCGAUAUCUGAUUAGCUAGUUGGUGGGGUAAAGGCCUACCAAGGCGACGAUCAGUAGCGGGUCUGAGAGGAUGAUCCGCCACACUGGGACUGAGACACGGCCCAGACUCCUACGGGAGGCAGCAGUGGGGAAUUUUGGACAAUGGGCGCAAGCCUGAUCCAGCCAUGCCGCGUGUCUGAAGAAGGCCUUCGGGUUGUAAAGGACUUUUGUCAGGGAAGAAAAGGGCGGGGUUAAUACCCCUGUCUGAU
rnacentral:rRNA from 1 species